ensembl:lncRNA
CUAAUGGUACAGCCUUCGAAGCUCUCGUGUUUUCGCAUCGGAGACAGAGCAUGCUUAAUUGCCGGUGAUAUCAAGCUGCUUUUGAAUGGCGUCCACGGCGAUUCAUAAUGGCAAGUAAGAGACAACAGGAAUCUGGCGCAGAAAAGCGGAAAAAUAAAAAGCUGAGAGAUGACACCCGUGCAUCCCUUGUUGCUGAGAAAUCCCGCUCGCAAUUCACAGAUGAGACUGGGACAAUCAGGGCAAUGCUGGCAAGGAGACUGAGGCAGUGGUAGAGGUCUAACCACUCAACAUACUCACUCGCCAGCAGAGUCAGGAGCUCCUCCUGGCUCUUGUUCUUGAAUGAAAGUUUUUCUCAGGGCCAGAGCGAGCCGAUUGCAACACAAGCAGCUGCUGGAAUUCCUUUAAAUAGCCCUGCCUGCCUCAUCGUAUGGUUGCCAUGGCAGCCAGCCCCCGGCUUCGAGACAACGUCCACAUGCUGGAGCGGAGCAACACUACACCUGUGCAGUACCGUACCCCGCCGCCGCUGGCCGCCUGCGGAGCAGAUGAAGCCACUUACCCGCGGAUAUGAAGGAGCAUAUUUGC